UAUAAGAAGAGUAUCGAAUAUAUAUUAAACGGCAACAACGGUCUAGUCAGUGUCAUAAUUGCAUAACUACCAUAGUCCAUAUAAAUCCGAUUAAAAUUUUGAAACCGAUCCAAAAAUGGUAGAUCUCCGUUUACUUAUUACUUUUAACCAUCAUAAUAUAUCCCAAAAUCGGUAACUAGGCUCGGACCAAUGAAACCAUGUCCAGCACCUUAAGUAACAAAAACCAUACUGGUUUUGACCAUUCAACCAGUCCGAUCAUAAACCACCUUAUGAAACGAUCUGAUUAAACGGUCGAACCACAACCCAUGAAACAUAAACUUUGGGCACCAUUCUACAUGCCCUGCAUCAACUCCUUCAUGGCAAGCUUGAGAGCCGCUAGCUCCUUAUCCUUCAUCUCCAAAGCCUUAUCCUUUUCCUCCAGAAGCUUCUUCAAGCAACCCUCUGCACUCCCCGCCAACGUCGCAGUAUCUGCGGACGCCGGCACCAAAACGGCGCCGCUGCUCAUAUCCCACCUGUUCCAAAUUACCUGACUACUAGUAUUAACACCGUACCUUGACCAACCGAAGUAGUCGUUGACCCUCAGCCGCAUGAUGGAACUUGGAUCAUUGACGAAAAGGAAACAGAGUCCCUGACGGUUGGCUAUGAGGUGGAAGGUCUGACCGCCGCCCUCAGCCGUCAGGGUCAAAUCAUUGGCCAGCUGGGUCAACCGGUUGGGCUGGAUCCUUCCAGAACCUCCAGCUGCGUAAACUUUUGAUUAUGAUAUUUUCAACCAUCUUAAAUAUGCCACUACAUAUAAUAUAUUAACAUAACACAUACUAAAUAAAAUUGUAGGUGCGAUAUAUUAACAUUGAACAAUCUAAACCUUUUGAUUUGAUCGAGUCAAAAUAAAUUAAAUAUCGCUCUUUCAUUUCUUUUGACCAUAAAGAUAGAUCCCAAAUUCAAUAACUAUACUCGGACAAAGGAAACUAAGUCCAAGUACACCUUAAUUAACCAAAAACCAUAUCGAUACUACAAACCCAUGCAUUAGACGAAACUUGGAGACCAUCGAUCCUAGCUACUACAUGUCGUGCACCAAGGCCUUCAUGGCAAGCUUGAGAGCAGCUAGCUCCUUAUCCUUCAUCUCCAAAACCUUAUCCUUCUCCUCCAGAAGCUUCUUCAGGCAACCCUCUUCACUCCCCGACCCCGCCGCAGCCGCCGGAACCAAAACGGCGCCGCUGCUCAUAUCCCACCUGUUCCAAAUUACCUGACUGCUAGUAUUAACACCGUACCUUGACCAGCCGAAGUAGUCGUUGACCCUCAGCCGCAUAACGGAACUCGGACUGUUGACGUACAGGAAACAGAGUCCCUGACGGUUGACUAUGAGGUGGAAGGUCUGACCGCCGCCCUCGGCCGUCAGGGUCAGAUCGUUGGCCAGCUGGGUCAGCUGGUUGGACCGGAUCGUCACGCCCAGAACCUCCAGCUCCUUAAACGGCGUCGAAUGAUGAUGACUCACUUUGGCGAGGAAAGUCCAGCGGGAGU
rnacentral:lncRNA from 1 species